GGCUCUGUGGUGCAAUGGAUAGUGUGGACUUCUAGGCUGUGAGUUGAGCCAUUCAAAGGUUGUGGGUUCGAGUCCCACCAGAGUUG
rnacentral:tRNA from 1 species